rnacentral:sRNA from 2 species
CGACGCUUCCACUGUAAUGAUCCUUUCGUAGGUGAACCUGUGGAAGGAUCAUUACAGUGGAAGGGUCGAGCCGGGCAUCCCCCCCCGGGGGGGGGGGGAGCCCGCGGCCCGUACCUCACCACCCUUGUCUACCGAACCAAUGUUGCCUUGGCAGGCCUGCCGCUCGCGGCUGCUGGGGGUCGCCGCGCAGGCGCCCCGGGCUCGCGCCUGCCAGAGGAGCGUUUGAACUCGAUUGAAGAACUGUCAGUUGAGCGUAACAGCAAGAAUCAAACAAAACUUUCAACAACGGAUCUCUUGGUUCUGGCAUCGAUGAGAACGCAGCGAAAUGCGAUAAGUAAUGUGAAUUGCAGAAUUCCGUGAAUCAUCGAAUCUUUGAACGCACAUUGCGCCCUCUGGUAUUCCGGGGGGCAUGCCUGUUCGAGCGUCAUUGCAAACCCCUCAAGCCCGGCUUGUGAGUUGGACCAUCGUCCCCGCCCGUGCGGACGGGUCCGAAAUGCAGUGGCGGCGCCGAGCUCCUGGCGUCUGAGUGUAUGGGAUCACUUCAUCGCUCUUAAGACCCGAUCGGCGCCCGUCGAAACCCAUAUUUCUUUCCGGUUUGACCUCGGAUCAGGUAGGAGUACCCGCUGAACUUAAGCAUAUCAAUAAGCGGAGGA